rnacentral:misc_RNA from 1 species
GCAAACUUGGUCAUUUAGAGGAAGUAAAAGUCGUAACAAGGUUUCCGUAGGUGAACCUGCGGAAGGAUCAUUAUUGAAUAACUUGGUACUGAUGCUGGCCUCCAAGGAGGCAUGUGCACGUAUCAUCUUAUUAAAUCUCUUGUGCACCUUUUGUAGUCUCCGAAGUGGCCUGCGCGGAAACGCGCAGUUGCGCUUCUAGUGGGCCCUUUGGGUCUCUUGAAUGCGGUUUGGGGUAUUGAAUGGAAACGUUCUGACCCUGUUUCACUUUGAGACUAUGUUUUACACACCCUAUAUAAAAGUUACAGAAUGUCUUUUAUUGGCUGCGAAGUCAGUAAACCUUAUACAACUUUCAGCAACGGAUCUCUUGGCUCUCCCAUCGAUGAAGAACGCAGC